UACGAAGGGGGCUAGCGUUGCUCGGAAUCACUGGGCGUAAAGCGCACGUAGGCGGAUUGCUAAGUCAGGGGUGAAAUCCUGGAGCUCAACUCCAGAACUGCCUUUGAUACUGGGAGUCUCGAGUCCGGGAGAGGUGAGUGGAACUGCGAGUGUAGAGGUGAAAUUCGUAGAUAUUCGCAAGAACACCAGUGGCGAAGGCGGCUCACUGGCCCGGUACUGACGCUGAGGCGCGAAAGCCAGGGGAGCGGAACGGGAU
rnacentral:rRNA from 1 species